AGUAUAGCAACUAUACCGUGAACUGCGAAUGGCUCAUUAAAUCAGUUAUCGUUUAUUUGAUAGUACCUUACUACUUGGAUAACCGUGGUAAUUCUAGAGCUAAUACAUGCUAAAAACCGCGACUUCGGAAGCGGUGUAUUUAUUAGAUAAAAAACCAAUGCCCUUCGGGGCUCCUUGGUGAUUCAUAAUAACUUAACGAAUCGCAUGGCCUUGUGCCGGCGAUGGUUCAUUCAAAUUUCUGCCCUAUCAACUUUCGAUGGUAGGAUAGUGGCCUACCAUGGUUUCAACGGGUAACGGGGAAUUAGGGUUCUAUUCCGGAGAGGGAGCCUGAGAAACGGCUACCACAUCCAAGGAAGGCAGCAGGCGCGCAAAUUACCCAAUCCCGACACGGGGAGGUAGUGACAAUAAAUACUGAUACAGGGCUCAUUUGGGUCUUGUAAUUGGAAUGAGUACAAUUUAAAUCCCUUAACGAGGAACAAUUGGAGGGCAAGUCUGGUGCCAGCAGCCGCGGUAAUUCCAGCUCCAAUAGCGUAUAUUAAAGUUGUUGCAGUUAAAAAGCUCGUAGUUGAACCUUGGGCCUGGCUGGCCGGUCCGCCUCACCGCGUGCACUGGUCCGGCCGGGCCUUUCCUUCUGGGGAGCCGCAUGCCCUUCACUGGGUGUGUCGGGGAACCAGGACUUUUACUUUGAAAAAAUUAGAGUGUUCAAAGCAGGCCUAUGCUCGAAUACAUUAGCAUGGAAUAAUAGAAUAGGACGUGUGGUUCUAUUUUGUUGGUUUCUAGGACCGCCGUAAUGAUUAAUAGGGAUAGUCGGGGGCAUCAGUAUUCAAUUGUCAGAGGUGAAAUUCUUGGAUUUAUUGAAGACUAACUACUG
rnacentral:rRNA from 1 species